GUCCAAGUGAUAGCUCAGUCGAUGGAACAUGAGACUCCUGAUCUCUGGGUUGUGGGUUCGAAUCCCAUGUUGGAUA